CUGGGAUCAUGACCUGAGCCGAAGGCAGACGCUUAACGACUGAGCCACCCAGGCGCCCUUGGGGGGAUUUUUAAAGGCAGACAGGACUGAUUCUUGUAACUGGGGUGUCACUGGAGGUAUGUUGUUGCCGCAGUGUCUGAGCAGCAGGAGAGAGCGUUCACGCUGGGACUAGCAGGACUUCUUGGCGAGGGAGUUUUUAACUUCGGAGAACUCCUCAUGCACCCCGUGCUGGAAUCACUGAGGAGCACCGACCGGCAGUGGCUGAUUGACACCCUUUAUGCCUUUAACAGUGGCAACGUAGAGAGAUUCCAGACGCUGAAGACCGCCUGGGGCCAGCAGCCUGAUUUAGCAGCCAACGAAGCCCAGCUUCUGAGGAAAAUUCAGUUGUUGUGCCUCAUGGAGGUAAGCAAGCACCCAGGAACCGCUCUGAUUUCAGACCCUGCAGGUGAGCUCACGGGGUCCUGCAAACUCUCCAAGCCUCCUGUAGGGAUAUUUUGGCUACACCCCCUCUCCACUACCUUCCUUUUUCUUCUGCCACCAUUGGCUUUUUUAAGUUUGUAUUUGAGUCUCAUCUUAGAUAAUGCUUCCUCAGAGAGGUAUUCCCUGCCAGUCUGAGCUAAAGUAGCUGCCACCUCAUUAUAUGUGCCAUUUGACAUGCUCUUCUGUGUUUCCCGACUAGAAUUUAAGCUUCUUGAGGAAAUGGACCUUACAUUUCUGGGCCACCACGCUGUUCCCAGCUCAAGGACAGCCCUGGCACACAGCAGCCUCAAGCACUUGCUCGGGGCAUGAAUACUGACCAUUGCCAACAACUGCUGUGAAGCUUAUUUCACCUUAGUAUCUGAGCAUGGGAAGCUUGUUCCUAAUAAGAUACAUGGCUAAUGUUUUUUUUUUUUUU